rnacentral:lncRNA from 1 species
CAAAGCGCAACAAGACUGAAUGUGCCAUGGAUGAUCCUUUAUGGAGCUAAGGGUGAGGUAUGCAGAUAUCUCAGCAGCUGUCAUGCAACCCUUCAUGUCCUGCUUGUUUGCAAAAAUGAGAACUGCAGCCUUCCGUAAAUCCUCAUGAGCCAGCAUUCUAUAAAGCUCUUCUUUUGUAAUAGAAAGUCGCUCUCUGUCAAUGCUGUCAACCACAAGAAUGAUGAACUCUGUGUUUGAAUAGUAGGUAUUCCAUGAUGACCGUAACGAUUCUUGUCCUCCGAUAUCCCACAUUAAGAAAUGGGUGUUUUUCACCACUAUUUCUUCUACAUUGCUUCCUAUGGUUGGAGAAGUAUGAACCACUUCAUUCAUUAAGAACUGGUAAAGGAUGGUCGUCUUUCCAGCAUUAUCAAGCCCCACUAUGAUUACUUUAUGCUCUUGGUUCCCAAAGAGACUCCACAGCUUGGCGAAGAUCAGGCCCAUGCCUGGCCCAGCCUCACCUCGGGGCACUCGGAACCCGGAGAGGCAGCGACGACUACAGCGGUGGUGUCG